rnacentral:tRNA from 1 species
GCGGUCUUGGCGAAACUGGCAGACGCGCAGGAUUUAGGUUCCUGUAUCGAGAGAUGUAAGGGUUCGAGUCCCUCAGACCGCA